rnacentral:misc_RNA from 1 species
AAGUCGUAACAAGGUUUCCGUAGGUGAACCUGCGGAAGGAUCAUUAACAUCUGUUUGAUAGUGGUGUGUGGGUGUGAGUUUCUUUUAGUAGAGAUUCACACUCACCACCCUCAACCCCAUUGUGUGCAUGUUUGUGUGGUGCUAAGGCUUUGCUUUACUUCACACUAUUUUCACUUCACAAACCAAAACCCCUUCUUCUCAUCACUACUAGACUGACUUUACACCUCGUUUUACUCAGCUACUGAGCAAAACAUCAAUCAGCAUACAACUCUUAGCAACGGAUAUCUAGGCUCUC